GAUGAACGCUGGCGGCGUGCCUAAUACAUGCAAGUCGAGCGAACGGACGAGAAGCUUGCUUCUCUGAUGUUAGCGGCGGACGGGUGAGUAACACGUGGAUAACCUACCUAUAAUACUGGGAUAACUUCGGGAAACCGGAGCUAAUACCGGAUAAUAUUUUGAACCGCAUGGUUCAAAAGUGAAAGACGGUCUUGCUGUCACUUAUAGAUGGAUCCGCGCUGCAUUAGCUAGUUGGUAAGGUAACGGCUUACCAAGGCAACGAUGCAUAGCCGACCUGAGAGGGUGAUCGGCCACACUGGAACUGAAACACGGUCCAGACUCCUACGGGAGGCAGCAGUAGGGAAUCUUACGCAAUGGGCGAAAGCCUGACGGAGCAACGCCGAGUGAGUGAUGAAGGUCUUCGGAUCGUAAAACUCUGUUAUUAGGGAAGAACAUAUGUGUAAGUAACUGUGCACAUCUUGACGGUAACUAAUCAGAAAGCCACGGCUAACUACGUG
rnacentral:rRNA from 1 species